AUACACAAGACUUGUGUCUACUGUUUAAAGUUUAAAUGGAGUCUCUAGGUGAAAUUAUGCCGGAGAAGUAGACGUUUAAAUAUCUCCAAUUAUUGUUCUUUUUCGCUCAUUUUCGUUCGGCCGUCCGAUUCAUUUCAAUGCAAAAUUUUGGGCAGUUUUUCGCGACUUACGUCGCGAAAAAUUCGUAUUCUGUAGAGAAAAGUAAUAGCACACCGAUCCCGAUCAAACCGCACGUUUUGAUAUAUAAUUUGUCCUGCAACUCUUCAAGUUGUAGGACUAGUAGCGGGACGAAAUUGCGUCCGCAAGAGGAAUAAGAAGAAAUCCACAGUAUAACAGUAGCGCAGCACUGGUCCCUACAGCUAUUGCUGUAUGGGACCAGUGCUCGGUGCAAUUGCUCCGAGGCCCUAAUUAACUGAAAGGGGUAAUAGUAGUGGUAAUGUACUUUACAUAUGUAUUUGGGGUGUGGUUUCUGAAAUUGCUGCGCUAAAUAUAUCAACAGGAAAUGCUAACUGUUGUAGAAUUUUAAUUUUGCAUGUCUAAUUGUAUUGUAUUGUAUCAAAGGUUCUCAAUCUGGCUUGAGGGGAAUCCCUGCUGUCUAAACUCUACCUGGAAGCAAGACAAGAGGCUCUCACAGAGGAUCUAUCAGAUAUCGACUUCAGAGCAACCCUCAUCUUUCUGCCACACAUCUUCAAGGAGAACAUUGAGUGCUUUAUUACUCUUGGAAAGUUCCUGCCACUCCAUACCCAACUAUCCAGUUGACGGAUGAAGACUUGAAAAUGGCCUUCACUAGGAGAGCUCCGAACGUUGUGAAAGUGGACGGCAUCGAGUCACAGCUCAGCAAUUGACGAGGGAAUGUUUUGGCAAAUCAAGUACAUUUUGAACAUCGAUACCUUGUGUAAAGGUUGAUUGAGAAUGGACUUUACUAAAACCAGGUGAUGAAAUGGACUACCGAAUAUUUGACACUUAUUCUGUGGAUAACAGUUUUAUGUCACACUUCAACAUAGUAUUUAAAAAUGUACAAAAUUGACAAAAUCAUGUGAAAAUCUUAGAUCUUCUGUCAUGAGUGUCAUUUUCAUUUAUGCAGUUUUAAGGUUGGUGGAGAAUGGACUUGCUUGCAAUGGACAAUUUUACAUUGUUUAGUGUAGAUGAUAUAUUGUUGAAUACACAGUUUUUUGACAAAAUUCAUAGCAAAGCUCAGUAAAAGAGUUUUGGGAAGUUUAACACAUAAUAGAGCAUGAAUUGUUUUAAUUUUUAUAUUUUUGUAUUUUACUUUAAUUUUAAAGUUUUUAAUUUGAAGUGUGAAUGCUGCUAACCUU